rnacentral:lncRNA from 1 species
CACUGGACACAUCCUCUGAUUCUGCAGUAACUGUGGAGUCCAACCCACUGCGAAUCUGAGCGAUUUUCCCCUCAAAAGGUAUGGCAAACUCAUCACAGCGAGCUGAUGAGCAGUCCGGGACAUCCACCGGAUUUCCCGGUUGAAGAAGAUCCCGGACCACCCGAAACAGCUCUGCUGGACGACAUUCUGAGGAAGCAAUAUAUGUACUAUGUGCAUGCUAAUAUUGCAUAAUGUCCAAUUAUUUGGCUCACAUUUUCAGGCACAUUUGUUCGUCAAAUGCUGAUUCACUUUCCUUCCUGUCCAGGUUGCCUUCCCAUCCAUCUCUGUAUAUAUCUGUAUUAAACACAGGGCUCUGUAUGGGGACAGUGAUGCCUGCAGCUGAAGUGACCAUGGGAGGAUUGUGCUUCCUACUUUUAUGGCUUCUGUGCUUAAUUCUUCAUUUUAUUCUGAAUUACAAAGAAAGCAAAGCAUCCCCAGCCAGUUCCCAAGGAUGGCUGCCUCCAGCACCAGUAUUUUCCUACCGGUAGAAGGAUGAUGGGAUGGAAGCAAGAAGGCAAAUUCUUCCUUGGCACACUUGCUCCUACAUUUGCUGCCAACGCCACCUACUCUUUCUCUUGCUGUGAAACAAAGGCCUUGCAUGUAAGAACCUGAGAGGAAAGCAGCACAUUCCUGAGAAAUGGCUGGCAGUACCUUGCUUCUCAGUCAUCCAGGUGAGGUUAUCUGGAAGUUGCGUCAUAGCAACUGGACUUGUUUCUUGUUAGGUUGAAACAUUUUGCUACUCGUCCAGGUGAAUUCUGAAGAGAGUUGGCUGGACAACACGUUGCUCCCCAAGGUGAAGGAGAAGAGCGGGUGGCAGCAACUGCCAUGUUUCUUAUCAACAUUUGGGUUGCUAGCAUGCUAGAAACAUACAUAAGCACUCCUUUAACACUGAGUGUCAGUGGGGGGCAUGCCCUGUACCUUCUACUAAUUUCACUAUAGCAUGUUCUCACACACACACCCAUGCCUCAGAAUCCUUGAGAUUACCUCUUCCUUACUGUGGUUCCAUUUUUAUCUGCUUUUUCCUCUGCCCUCCAUUUUCUCUCCCUAAAGAGAGAUGUGUGGAGAUGUACUGUAGCUCCCUACCACAUAAAAAGCUUUGAUCAUUUUGUUUUUGAGGCAUAUGUCUCUGUCAUAUCAGCAGAUCAAACCAACAUAACAUAAAGUUGCAGAUUUGAGAGGAACUCCAGUGGCCAUAUAGUACUCUCUCUCUCUCACUGUUGGUGUAUAGACAGUUACUGGCUGGAUGUAUUCCUUCUUCCUCAUGCAGGAAAGCAAAGCAUCCCCAGCCAGUUCCCAAGGAUGGCUGCCUCCAGCACCAGUAUUUUCCUACCGGUAGAAGGAUGAUGGGAUGGAAGCAAGAAGGCAAAUUCUUCCUUGGCACACUUGCUCCUACAUUUGCUGCCAACGCCACCUACUCUUUCUCUUGCUGUGAAACAAAGGCCUUGCAUGUAAGAACCUGAGAGGAAAGCAGCACAUUCCUGAGAAAUG